rnacentral:rRNA from 1 species
GACCAGCGCCCGACCGGGUGGACCCCUCCUUUAUUGUCGACGGUGAGCACUCUUGAGUGAUCUGUCCUGUAUUUCCGGAUUAUCCUGGCAAACUGGGUCUAAUACCGGAUAUGACCUUCUCCUGCAUGGGGUUUGGUGGAAAGCUUGUGCGGUACAGGUUGGGCCCGCGGCCUAUCAGCUUGUUGGUGGGGUAAUGGCCUACCUAGGCUACGACGGGUAGCCGGCCUGAGAGGGCGACCGGCCACACUGGGACUGAGACACGGCCCACACUCCUACGGGAGGCAGUAGUGGGGAAUAUUGCACAAUGGGCGGAACCCUGAUGCAGCGACGCCGCGUGAGGGAUGACGGCCUUCGGGUUGUAAACCUCUAUCAUUAGGGACGAAGCGCAAGUGACGGUACCUACAUAAGAAGCACCGGCCAACUACGUGCCAGCAGCCGCGGUAAUACGUAGGGUGCGAGCGUUGUCCGGAUUUACUGGGCGUAAAGAGCUCGUAGGCGGUUUGUCACGUCGUCUGUGAAAACCCGAGGCUUAACCUCGGGCCUGCAGGCGAUACGGGCAGACUUGAGUACUGUAGGGGAGACUGGAAUUCCUGGUGUAGCGGUGGCAUGCGCAGAUAUCAGGAGGAACACCGGUGGCGAAGGCGGGUCUCUGGGCAGUAACUGACGCUGAGGAGCGAAAGCGUGGGUGCGAACAGGAUUAGAUACCCUGGUAGUCCACGCCGUAAACGGUGGGUACUAGGUGUGGGUUUCCUUCCACGGGAUCCGUGCCGUAGCUAACGCAUUAAGUACCCCGCCUGGGGAGUACGGCCGCAAGGCUAAAACUCAAAGGAAUUGACGGGGGCUCGCACAAGCGGCGGAGCAUGUGGAUUAAUUCGAUGCAACGC